AACACAAGAGGCAAAGAUCACUCGGGACCACCUUGUAUAUUGGCUACCACAGAACCCAACACAAGCAGUAAGUUAAAAUCAUGAAGCUCCUGACGUCAGAGGACAUGGCUCUGCCAUUUGUUAGGUAGGGAUCCUGUUAAAGGCUCAGCUUCCUCAUCUGGAAAUGGAAAUAUAGGCCUUGCCUGGUUUGCUGUAAUGGGUCGUGAUGAGGACCAAACUACAAAGAGUGGUACAGAUGUUAAUUACAAUGAUUUUUCCUAUGCCACCCAUGGAAACAAAAAUAGCAAGAUAGAGAAGGCUAAAUCCCAGUUUUUUUUGACUGCUAUUCAGCAAAGCCUAGGAGACUUUCAUGACACCUGGAGAGGCGGCCGUAGUGUAUGUGUAAGAGUACCGGUUCCAGAGUGGGGCUCCCCGAGCUCAGCCCCACCACUUACCAACAGCGGACCUUGGGCCAGAUGCUGAAGCCCUUUGUGCCUUGGUUUCCUGACCUAUUACUGUGGAAAUGAUGACAGUACCCUCCUCAUGGCAUCGUGAGAAUUAAAUUAGCUAAUUCAGGUGAAGCAUUUAGAAGAGGACCUCCUGACACUUAAUAACUGCUUGAUAUAAAUAAUAGCUUCUGCUACAGAGUGGCCAUGAAGUCUGGACAUGUAGAUAUUAUAUUAUCAUGCAUCAUAAGUUCAGUUCUAUGUCAACAUUCCAAGAAAAUCCAGACUGAGCCUCCUCCUCACCAGUGCUCCUGUCUAGUCCUGGAGGCAGGGGACCUGCUCUGGAAUCUCAGCUCAUGCAGCAAGUACCCGGAUGACUUUAGGCAAAUCAUGUCACCUCGCUAGAUCUCCCUCUCUUCCUCUGGUACAUGGGGCAUCCAUACCUGCCUCACCAGAUGGAGUCUCGCUCUGUUGUCCAGGCUGGAGUGCAGUGGGGCGAUCUCGGCUCACUGCAACCUCUGCCUCCUGGGUUCAAGUGAUUCUCCUGCCUCAGCCUCCCAAGUAGCGGGGACUACAGCACUGCAAUGAAUGCUGCUGCACACGCUGUUGAGCUCGUGGACACUUUCCUGCUGGGUGAGGACCCGAACGUGAAAUUGCUGGGUCAUGGAUUCAAGUGCUACACAUAUUUUUGACCACAUUACUGUGACUCAGGAAGCCCAGGAACAGAAUUCUAGGCACCAGAACCAUACAUGUUACAGCCUCUGAGCUUUAUGGCCUCUGAGCCAUUUGUCCAGCCACAUCAUUUGCAGAUGAGAUCCUGAGACUCAGGCUGGAAAAGUGACCGGGGAAAAGUCACACAAGUCAGAGGCAGAGCUGGAGUUUCCUCAUUUCCAGGCCCGUAUAGAUCAAGACGGACGUUGGUCAAACACCUCCUAGUACUCACAUGAAGAAGCUCUCCUUUCUGCUGUAGGAAUGAUCACACACCAUUCCAAUCUGGAUACCAAAUGUCAUUGUUUAUUAAAUGUGUGCAGUGUGCCAG
ensembl:lncRNA novel transcript